rnacentral:tRNA from 2 species
GCGCCAGUAGCUCAGUCCGGAUAGAGCAUCGGAUUUCUAAUCCGACGGCCGGGUGUUCGAAUCACCCCUGGCGCGCCA